CCACGUGAUGGCCCUCGUGCUGCGUCACGAUUUCGCUCGCUCCCUCCCCUCACUCUGUGUAAGAAGUAAACAACCUGCCAUAUCGUCGGCGUGGAUUCAGUCACUGACUAGCUUGAACCCCAUUGGCCCGCGUUAAGUGGCUCAUGGCUGGGCUUGGGCCUCCGAGCCCCGGACGUAAACAUACCUGCGGCGGGCGCGUCCAAGGCUGUGCCCCGCCCUCAGAAGGGCUGCCUCUCAACCUAACUUGCUGAAGCCGUAAGGGAGAGGAGGAAGCGCUGAGGGUGAGGAGGAGGAGAGAGCGGUGCAACCGCCCGCAGUGUCGCCGCUUCCCCGACUCACCUCCCCGGAUGAGAUUGGAGGAGCGGUCGGAGAGGCCCCGCCUUCCUCGGCGGCUGAUUGGCUGUCGGUGUGUUGGCCGGUGUGAGGGUCCCAAAACCUUGUCAGAAACAGGAGGGAAAACACAGCCGGACGCCCCGCAGGGCAAGCAGGUGGUCGAGGGGCAGCAGGAAUUUACAAGUCAAUAAUGGCUGCUGAAUCUCCUCGCCGUCCCAGCCGAUGUACAGGUGGAGUGGUGGUUCGUCCACAGGCCGUCACGGAACAGUCGUAUAUGGAAAGUGUUGUUACGUUCCUGCAAGAUGUUGUACCACAGGCCUACAGUGGCACAACCCCAACAGAAGAAAAAGAGAAAAUAGUAUGGGUCAGAUUUGAAAGUGCAGAUUUGAAUGAUGUGUCCCGGAAUGUCGAGCUGCACAAGUUGCACAACACGGGGAACGAGCCUCCCUUGCUGUUGAUUAUUGGCUACAGUGACGGGAUACAGAUAUGGAGUGUACCCAUCAGCGGUGAGGCUCAAGAACUGUACUCUGUCCGACAUGGCCCUGUCCGAGCUGCCCGCGUCUUACCGUCGCCGCAGAUUAGUCCCCAGAAGUGCGAUAACUUUGCUGAGAAGAGACCACUCCUUGCUGUUUGCAAAAGCCUCGGAUCUUCUGGCACCAGCCCUCCUUACUGCUGCGUAGAUCUUCAUUCUCUGCGAACGGGGGAAAUGGUCAAAUCCAUACAGUUCAAGACACCUAUUUAUGAUCUCCACUGCAAUAAAAGGAUCCUGGUUGUCAUCUUGCAGGAGAAAAUUGCUGCCUUCGACAGCUGCACAUUCACCAAAAAGUUUUUUCUCACAAGCUGCUAUCCAUGUCCAGGUCCAAACAUGAACCCCAUAGCUCUGGGAAGCCGAUGGCUGGCUUAUGCUGAAAACAAGCUGAUCCGGUGCCAUCAGUCCCGUGGUGGGGCCUGCGGAGACAACAUCCAGUCCUACACGGCCACGGUCAUCAGCGCAGCCAAAACAAUAAAAACUGGCCUCACCAUGGUGGGGAAAGUUGUGACGCAGCUGACGGGCACUCUGCCAUCGGGAGCAACGGAAGAAGAAAUCUUAGCGCAUAGCAAUACACGCCGCAGUCCCUUGGUCCCUGGAAUUGUCACAGUGAUCGACACCGAGAUGGUCGGAGAAGGACAGGUCCUUGUAAGUGAGGAUUCCGACAGCGACGGCAUUGCGGCCCACUUCCCUGCACACGAGAAGCCCAUCUGCUGCAUGUCUUUCAACCCUAGUGGCAUGCUUCUGGUCACCACCGACACACUAGGCCACGACUUCCAUGUUUUCCAAAUCCUGACCCACCCCUGGUCGUCUUCGCAAAGCGCCAUCCAUCACUUGUACACGUUACACCGUGGAGAGACCGAAGCCAAAGUGCAGGACAUCUCCUUCAGUCACGACUGCCGCUGGGUGGUGGUCAGCACUUUGCGGGGCACCUCCCACGUCUUCCCCAUCAACCCGUACGGAGGGCAGCCCUGCGCCCGCUCCCACAUGUCGCCACGGGUCGUGAACCGCAUGAGCCGCUUCCAGAAGAGCGCAGGGCUGGAAGAGAUUGAGCAGGAGCUGAUGUCCAAGCAAGGAGGCCGCUGCAGCCCAGUCCCGGGGCUGUCGAGUAGCCCGUCGGGGUCGCCUCUUCAUGGUAAAUUGAACAGUCAAGACACUUACAACAAUUUCACCAACAAUAAUCCCGGGAACCCACGCCUGUCUCCUCUUCCAAGCCUGACUGUGGUGGUACCUCUUGCUCAAAUCAAGCAACCUAUGACAUUAGGGACCAUCACCAAGCGUACAGGACCUUACCUGUUUGGAGCAGGAUGUUUUUCCAUAAAAGCUCCGUGCAAGAGCAAACCAGCUCCUCAAAUCUCACCCAGCAAAUCUGUGGGAGGAGAGUUCUGCGUGGCUGCUGUCUUUGGCUCAUCAAGGUCUUGGCUCGCAAGCAAUCCGGGACUUAAAAGAGAAAAAGAUCAGUCCAAACAGUGUGUUGUGAAGUCUCUGUACAUCAUCAGCUGCUACGGGACGCUGGUGGAGCAUGUCUUGGAACCGCGGCCGCUCAGCACCGCCCCAAAGAUCAGCGACGACACUCCUCUUGAGAUGGCGACGUCUCCAAGGGCCAGUUGGCUGCUGGUUCGAACUCCCCAGUGGAAUGAACUGCAGCCGCCCUUUAACGCAAAUCAUCCACUGCUCCUGGCCGCAGAUGCCGUGCAGUGCUACCAGUAUCUGCUUGUUGGCUUAGUGCCACCAGGAAGUCCAGGUCCCAUCACUCGGCAUGAAUCCUAUGACAGCUUAGCGCCCGACCACAGUGGGCAGGAAGAUGAAGAAUGGCUUUCUCAGGUUGAAAUUGUAACCCACACCGGACCUCACAGGCGCCUGUGGAUGGGCCCACAGUUCCAGUUCAAAACCAUUCACCCCUCAGGCCAAACAACAGUCAUUUCCUCCAGUUCUUCCAUACUCCAGUCACAUGGCCCCAACGAUACCCCACAGCCUCUCCUGGACUUCAAUACGGAUGAUCUGGAUCUGAACAGUCUCAGGAUCCAGCCUGUUCGCUCCGAACCUGUCAGUAUGCCGGGGUCAUCACGGGCAACAUCUGACCGCCGAGGGAUUUUGACAGUGGCCGAUGCUACCUCAGCCUUUCGAAAUGCAAAUGACUAGCCUAAGUUCAGGCCUCAUGUCUUCAGGUCAACUGGAGAGUCUUCUGGGGUUGAGAUUACGCAAUCAGCAAAUAGAGUUUCUUUGAAAGGAUCAACCUGUCAGUUUGCCCUCCAGUGCCCUGGGAAUCGCUCCAUCCUUUUUGCAUAUGAAGAAACACUCUCCAGCUCCCGUGCAGAAAUGAGGAACUGCAGCAUCGCGCUGUGAAUGUCACAUGCCCAUCACUGACCUCGAUACCAUUUUGCAACACUGAGUUUUGAUGACUGCCCAAAGUCACUGCCUAGUUUGCGCGUGAACAUCUGAAGGGGAAGAGUACGGCACAGAGUUCCAAAAAUAUCCACUCCAGUUGGGAAAUCGGACUUCUAAAUCGGGGCUGUUACACGGAUGCUAAUCAAGUUUGAUGAAUCAGAGAGGGAUGGUAGUAAUUACUUGGAAUGCUCCCAACAAAGCGCCUUCAGAAAUGUUCUGUUCUCCAAGAUCGUCAGGGCCACUGCAGCACUCAGUACUCGCCUCGUCUUCAAAGGUGCCUCUUGGACUUGUUUUGUCAGGCUGUUGGCUGCCCUCUGAAUGAUGAAAUGGCACUUGGUUUCUGAACUGUAUUCCUGAAACAUAUUAUUUGGCAGGGGAAGAAUGUGCCCAGACGCACCAAUGUAUAACGCUAUAUGUGGUCUGUUUUCAAUCAGCAAUUCCUGCUCCGCUUAUUAAACAGCUUUAUACAAUGAACAUCUCUAAUAACACAAACCAUAACGUUCUUGAUUGCAUUGCAUUAUUAUGAUUCUUUCGGUUUUCGAACUACCUUCAGAAACUGUCUGUGUUGGAGUUACUGUGGCUUUUUAUGAACUCGAGACUAACCUAUUUGGGAACUAAGGAGAGCAAUUUAAUACUUCUUCCCCAUCCAUUGUUGGACAUCAUUUGUAGGACAGAAGUCAUCUUUAGGACACAAAAAUAAUAGAAGGAAAUAGAGCAAUUUCCAUUUCUUGUAGGGUUUGAGCCAAAAGCUCUCAGGUUAGAAACUUUGUUUUGAAAUUUGGAGGGGUGGAAGCGGGGAACCAAAAUCGGCCUUUCACCUUGCCUCGGUUAGCUACUGCCACUUGUUUUACAAUGGCAGCUCAGCACUCCUUUUGGGGGAUGGCAGGUCCAACUUUCCCCCUGCUGAACACAUCAAUGACACAGCAUCACCCAUGCGGGGGAACUGUGGGUAAAAAUGAUGGCUGCCAGCUACCAGAAGGAGGACCGUGAGUUUCAUGGUCCCUGCCUCCCAAAAACUGCCCAUAUGCCCCCUGUUUUGCUUCCUGUGGCAUCUGGGCUCCUCCUUGAUGCAUGUAUAUGAUAAUGGUGAUUUAGAUUUUAGAAGGAAGUGAGUGCUUUCAGGGGAAGGGGAUGCUGAAGUGUGGGGUCAGGGAAGAGAGAGUGUGAGAGCCCAGGGGACAUGGUGGCUGAAAGAGGGGCAAAGAGGAGACAGUGAGCUGAGAAGCUCAGAUCUGAGGCGAGAUGGUGCGUGAGAAGAAGAGCCGGAAACGUUGCAAGAGACUUGGCCUGGCAAGAGCUGUAUGCUUUUGGAACAGUGUAGGAAAGGCAACGAGAUGAGCAGGCCAAGGAGAUUUUCAUUUCCUCAUAUCCACUCAAUUUCCUCUUCAUCUUAUUUAGAAUAUUUCUAUAUCCCGUUUUUCAGCACACACACACAAGUUCUCAAAGAAGUUUACAUAGCAAAAGGAAUGUGAAAAUGGUUCCCUGUCCCCAAGGGGCUCCCAGUCUAUACAAAAACACAGAAGGGGAGACACCAGCAACAGCUCCUGGAGGGAUGCUGUGCUGGGAUGGAUAGGCACAGUUGAUCUCCUCCUGCUAAACAAAAGAGAAGUCCAUCUCUUCAACAGCUUGCCCAGUUAGUAGGAGAUUUGCCCAGCCAGAGCUUUGGAGGAUGCUUUCUAGUUGAACUCUCACUAUAUACAAAGCUUUGUGACAUUUAUCUCUUUACAAGAUGCCUUUGAGGCAGGACACUACUGUGUGCAUUUCACAGCUGAGCAACUGAGGCUGAAAGAUAACCAUUUUUUCAUGGCUACAGAGGGCUGCUAAUGUCAUCACUUUGUUGUCACUGACCACAAGGCCUCUGCUGAUGACUAGGGAUACAUUUCUGGCAUUACCCAAUGGACCAUGCUUACCUUUUUUUAUUGGUCAUAUUUACACAAAUAUAUCCAUUCCAUUGUUAGGCAAAUUAAAAUAUUUCCCCCUUAAGUU